rnacentral:rRNA from 1 species
GAACUGAAGAGUUUGAUCAUGGCUCAGAUUGAACGCUGGCGGCAGGCCUAACACAUGCAAGUCGAGCGGAUGAAGGGAGCUUGCUCCUGGAUUCAGCGGCGGACGGGUGAGUAAUGCCUAGGAAUCUGCCUGGUAGUGGGGGACAACGUUUCGAAAGGAACGCUAAUACCGCAUACGUCCUA